rnacentral:rRNA from 1 species
GUACGGGUUGUGAGAGCAAGAGCCCGGAGAUGGAUUCUGAGACACGAAUCCAGGCCCUACGGGGCGCAGCAGGCGCGAAAACUUUACAAUGCGAGAAAUCGUGAUAAGGGAACCCCGAGUGCCCGUAAAUUCGGGCUGUCCGCCAGUGUAAAUAACUGGUGAAGAAAGGGCCGGGCAAGACCGGUGCCAGCCGCCGCGGUAAUACCGGCGGCUCGAGUGGUGGCCACUAUUACUGGGCUUAAAGCGUCCGUAGCUGGAUUGUUAAGUCUCUUGGGAAAUCCACCGGCUCAACCGAUGGGCGUUCAGGAGAAACUGGCAAUCUAGGGACCGGGAGAGGUGAGAGGUACUCCAGGGGUAGGAGUGAAAUCCUGUAAUCCUUGGGGGACCACCUGUGGCGAAGGCGUCUCACUAGAACGGCUCCGACAGUGAGGGACGAAAGCUGGGGGAGCAAACCGGAUUAGAUACCCGGGUAGUCCCAGCUGUAAACGAUGCGCGUUAGGUGUAUCGGUGACCACGAGUCAUCGAGGUGCCGAAGGGAAACCGUGAAACGUG